AGGGAAACCGAGUCUUAACUGGGCGUUAAGUUGCAGGGUAUAGACCCGAAACCCGGUGAUCUAGCCAUGGGCAGGUUGAAGGUUGGGUAACACUAACUGGAGGACCGAACCGACUAAUGUUGAAAAAUUAGCGGAUGACUUGUGGCUGGGGGUGAAAGGCCAAUCAAACCGGGAGAUAGCUGGUUCUCCCCGAAAGCUAUUUAGGUAGCGCCUCGUGAACUCAUCUCCGGGGGUAGAGCACUGUUUCGGCUAGGGGGUCAUCCCGACUUACCAACCCGAUGCAAACUGCGAAUACCGAAGAAUGUUAUCACGGGAGACACACGGCGGGUGCUAACGUCCGUCGUGAAGAGGGAAACAACCCAGACCGCCAGCUAAGGUCCCAAAGUCACAGUUAAGUGGGAAACGAUGUGGGAAGGCUCAGACAGCCAGGAUGUUGGCUUAGAAGCAGCCAUCAUUUAAAGAAAGCGUAAUAGCUCACUGGUCGAGUCGGCCUGCGCGGAAGAUGUAACGGGGCUAAACUGUGCACCGAAGCUGCGGCAGCGACGCUUAUGCGUUGUUGGGUAGGGGAGCGUUCUGUAAGCCUGCGAAGGUGUCCUGUGAGGGAUGCUGGAGGUAUCAGAAGUGCGAAUGCUGACAUAAGUAACGAUAAUGCGGGUGAAAAGCCCGCUCGCCGGAAGACCAAGGGUUCCUGUCCAACGUUAAUCGGGGCAGGGUGAGUCGACCCCUAAGGCGAGGCCGAAAGGCGUAGUCGAUGGGAAACGGGUUAAUAUUCCCGUACUUGGUGUUACUGCGAAGGGGGGACGGAGAAGGCUAUGUUGGCCGGGCGACGGUUGUCCCGGUUUAAGCGUGUAGGCUGGUUUUCCAGGCAAAUCCGGAAAAUCAAG
rnacentral:rRNA from 1 species